AAAACGGACCUCAAAAAUAAAUGUCGGUUAUUAACAUUUCGUCGAUUACAAGUAUCAACGAUAUCUAUCAAUUUGUUCUUUUACGACCUUACGUGCCUGUCUCAGCGCCUCUAAAACCCGGCGCUCGGUUCACAUCUCUUCGUGCACUAUAGGUAAAGCCGCCCCAGAUUGAGAGACUACCUAUCCAGAGGAGCACGGAAUAACUGAAGAAGUCAACAAAAAGUAACAAAUAGUCGUUUUAACGGAUUUCAAUCGUAACGCUAUUUACCCAUACGUUGCUGAACCCUUUGCAC
rnacentral:misc_RNA from 1 species